rnacentral:lncRNA from 1 species
CCCCACUCCAAAGCCCAAGCCCAGACAAAUUACAGGAGACCCAGCUACACUGGGACUUCAGAAGGACAACAAAUCGCGGUGUGAGUACGGCCCACGCAGUCACUGGGUUGUAUUUAUAUUUAAAAAAUUGGCUAUCAUUCAUCUGAAAUUCAAAUUUAAUUGUGUGUCUUUUUUUUUUUUUAUUUGUUCGAUCUGGCAACGCAUACCCCCUACCUGCCCCCCACCCCCAACACACACUGAGCCCAGAGACAAAGGUGUGGGAUGUGGGUUCCAGCUAGAUUCCUUUUUUUUUUAAGAGAGAGAGAAUUUUAAUAUUUAUUUAUUUAUUUGUUUUUUAGUUUUCAGCAGACACAACAUUUUUGUUUGUAUGUGGUGCUGAGGAUCGAACCCCGGCUGCAUGCAUGCCAGGCAAGUGCGCUACCGCUUGAACCACAUCCCCAGCCCUCCAGCUAGAUGCUAACACGUUGGUGGCCUUGCCAAAGCACUGCCCUCUCUGAGCCUGAUUCAUCUCACCUACUGCUAAUAUCCCUCCUGCCUCAGGGACCAGGCCUGGAAAGACACUGAGCUUUCUAUAAAGGCACAAGGAUCUUCUCACUAAGAAAUCAGCGGUUUGCAAAAGCCUUCUUGACCUGGGGUUGCUAAAAUGAAAUCAUCUCUCUCUCUCUCUCUUUCUCUCUCUCUCCUCUCUCUCCUUCCUUCUUUCUCCCUCCUCCUCAUCUCACUCUUGCUGACAUCCUCAGGGCACCCAGACAUGCCCCAGCCCUAACAAACAGAAAGAGUUCAUUCCAUGUCACUGAUUAGUGGUUGUGGGCCUACUAUGUGCCAGGUAAAUAGCCUACUAAGUGCUGAAGAUAUGAUGUUGACCAGUUCCUGCCCACAGAGAGCUUCUAGUCUGGGGGUGAGGCCUGAGCGGACAAAGUUGAAUAACC